AUUGAACGCUGGCGGCGUGCCUAACACAUGCAAGUCGAGCGGUAACAGGUGUAGCAAUACAUGCUGACGAGCGGCGGACGGGUGAGUAACGCUUGGGAAUCUGCCUGUUAGUGGGGGACAACCCGGGGAAACUCGGGCUAAUACCGCAUACGCACUAUGGUGGAAAGCCGGGGACCGCAAGGCCUGGCGCUAACAGAUGA
rnacentral:rRNA from 1 species